UACGGAGGGUGCAAGCGUUAUCCGGAUUUAUUAGGUUUAAAGGGUUCGCAGGCGGAAUUUUAAGUCAGUGGUGAAAGCCUACAGCUCAACUGUAGAACUGCCAUUGAUACUGAUAUUCUUGAGUGUAGAUGAAGUGGGCGGAAUAUGUCAUGUAGCGGUGAAAUGCAUAGAUAUGACAUGGAACACCAAUUGCGAAGGCAGCUCACUAAACUAUUACUGACGCUCAUGAACGAAAGCGUGGGGAGCGAACAGG
rnacentral:rRNA from 1 species